GAUGAACGCUGGCGGCGUGCUUAACACAUGCAAGUCGAACGGAAAGGCCUCUGCUUGCAGGGGUACUCGAGUGGCGAACGGGUGAGUAACACGUGGGUGAUCUGCCCUGCACUUCGGGAUAAGCCUGGGAAACUGGGUCUAAUACCGGAUAUGACAAUGGUUUGGAUGCUGUUGUGGAAAGUUUUUCGGUGUGGGAUGAGCUCGCGGCCUAUCAGCUUGUUGGUGGGGUAAUGGCCUACCAAGGCGUCGACGGGUAGCCGGCCUGAGGGGGUGUAGGGACAGAUUGGGACUGAGAGAGGGGCCAGACUAGGACGGGAGGCAGCAGGGGGGAAUACUGGACAAUGGGAGGAAGCCUGAGGGAGCGAGGCCGUGUGGGGGAUGAAGGCCUUCGGGUUGGAAACUCAUAUCGGUAGGGAACAAGCGAUUUUGUGACGGUACCUGGAGAAGAAGCACCGGCUAACUACGUG
rnacentral:rRNA from 1 species